AAUUUCAAACACAAUUUAGCCCCUCUCCCCCAACUGAUCCAUCACUCCUCCAUAUCCCUAAAAUCCGUUCAUAUUCUGCUCCCAUAACUCCCAAUUCUCUUUUUCUUGUUGCUUCGCAGUUUCCCCUAUAUACAUCGAUGAUAUGAGGUUACUUUCAUUCUACGUCUCUUGAUUCUCAGCUCUCUGAAAUCCUCAUCUCCGCCCUCUCAUGGAUAUCUAUUUAUCGGUUGUGCUCAGCGGCGAAGUGGUGGUAGUGAUGUAUGUUCACAGGUAUAAAAUUGCUUCUAAGAUUUGAAAGGUGCUUACAUUACGUUAGUUUCAUUGUUACUUCUAUGGGUAAUGUGAUUCGGUUACUUGUUUAUGAGUGAGACGCCCACCGAUUGUUCAAAGAAUUUCCCUCCAACUAGAGGCUUCGAGGCAACGAAAGAAGACUGUCAUCUAUCGGUUGCUUCAGUUUUCAUUUUUUUCAUUUGUGUGGCCGAGGUGUACACCAAAGUAGGAAACUUGGUGAAUCAAGGGAAAAAAUAGCAUCAGCGUCCUUGAAGAGUGCAAACUAUUCAGGAAAAAACAAGUUGAUUAAUAUUAAUUCACUAUUUACAAACAGAUGUUCUUCAAUUACUUUGAUUGGCGUUUUGUUACUCAAGCUAUUGUGGCCCUGAAUGUUUGUCAGUCAAUGAAAUAUAAUUGGAAAUGCACCAGUAACAAAAGAGAAGAUAUAACAGAGUUGUUAAUGCCACCUCAGCACGUUUGUAGGUGACAUAACACUUGAGAUUACAUUCAAUAUUUGUGAGAAGAUGUGCAACAAAAAUGAUGAUAAAAGAUCUCUCUCUUGAUGUGGUUACUAUUGAAUAUGUGAGCGUGUUUGUCAUUCAAGCGCAACUAUGUUGUUUGCCAUGGUUUAUGUUAUAAGUGUCAAAUUGUAUAAAAUAUAGUUUGAUUUUUGUUUGUAAAUUUA